AGCAGCCGCGGUAAUUCCAGCUCCAAUAGCGUAUAUUAAAGUUGUUGCAGUUAAAAGCUCGUAGCUGAAUUUCGGGAUCAAUAUGCUGGUCGUGCCAUUGGUACGUACUAGUAUUAUUGGUUUCUCCUUUCUGAUGAAUCAUGAUGUCAUUAAUUUGAUGUCAUGAGGAAUCAGGACUGUUACUUUGAAAAAUUGAGUGUUUAAAGCAGGCUCGCGCUUGAAUACAUUAGCAUGGAAUAAUGAAAUAGGAUGUUUGAUUCUAUUUUGUUGGUUUCUAGGAUUGACGUAAUGAUUAAUAGGGAUAGUUGGGGGCAUUAGUAUUCAAUUGUCAGAGGUGAAAUUCUUGGAUUUAUUGAAGACUAACUACUGCGA
rnacentral:misc_RNA from 1 species